rnacentral:rRNA from 1 species
UGCUAAUACCGGAUAACAACACUAGACGCAUGUCUAGAGUUUAAAAGAAUGGUUCUGCUAUCACUCUUGGAUGGACCUGCGGUGCAUUAGCUAGUUGGUAAGGUAACGGCUUACCAAGGCAAUGAUGCAUAGCCGAGUUGAGAGACUGAUCGGCCACAUUGGGACUGAGACACGGUCCAAACUCCUACGGGAGGCAGCAGUU